CACUAUGCUUAGCCCUAAACCCAGAUAGUUAAUCCAAACAAAACUAUCCGCCAGAGAACUACCAGCAACAGCUUAAAACUCAAAGGACUUGGCGGUGCUUUACAUCCCUCUAGAGGAGCCUGUUCUAUAAUCGAUAAACCCCGAUAUACCUCACCAUCUCUUGCUAAUCCAGCCUGUAUACCGCCAUCUUCAGCAAACCCUAAAAAGGAAGAAAAGUAAGCACAAGUAUCUUAACAUAAAAAAGUUAGGUCAAGGUGUAGCCCAUGAGAUGGGAAGUAAUGGGCUACAUUUUCUACAACUAGAACACCCACGAAAAUCCUUAUGAAACUAAGUAUCAAAGGAGGAUUUAGUAGUAAAUCUGAGAAUAGAGAGCUCAAUUGAAUCGGGCCAUGAAGCACGC
rnacentral:rRNA from 1 species